UUGAAUUUCCAACUUUUCCCUUAUUGUUUAGCCAUCUUCCUUCCCAAUUCCUUGAUUCGUGUCACCUUGAGAAAAAUACUAGAACUUCUAAGUCUUUGAGCUGUCAAUUGCUUGUUCACCAACCCUCUUCUCCAUUUGAACAAUUCUUUAGUUUAGGAUGGAGUUUCAUGUUGCUCUUUUUCGGUGAGUUUGAGCCACCGCCACCCUUAUCUAAACAAAUAGAUAACAACCCCCCAUCAGAAAUUUCAGUUAGCUGUUACCCAUAUCAAUUACAAAAUUGAGAAGCUAAAGUACCCAAAAACUUAGUUUACUACUUGAAUUUCUCUCUCCUCUAUCCCAACCACCGCCAUCACCGCCCUUUAUGGCCGCGUUGCUUCCUCCGGUACCAAACUCUACCCGGACAGACCUCCGGUAUUGCACUUACCGGCCUCCGAUGCUUCCUCCGUACUUCAAUUUAUGUUGUUGCCGUUAGUGGUGCCUGUUGGUCAUUGUUGUUCUUGCUGUUUGUUGAUCGACACUCUGCUCUUCCAUUUCCACUCCUUUAUUAUAAGCUCCUCUUAGUUUUAAUUAAAGGAGACCCAUUACCCACAAUGGACUUUUUGUUAAGAAGGUAUAAUUAUGGGUCUUAUCUCUUCCUUUUAAUUUGUUAAGCAUAAAUCAAUAUUUGUGUAGACCAAGUUAUCCAUCUAUAUAAAUUUAUUUUAUUAUUGAUUAAUUUUUGAAAGAUUUCUAUAAAGUAUAUUAGUAUAAUUUCUAUGAGUAUUUCAAGUGGAUAAAUGCUUAAUUCCUUGUUACCAUUGAUAGUCGAAUAGGUGAAUGAUAUGGAGAAUAGUUAAGGAUAUCUAAAGAUGGGAGUUUGUUAUUUAAAAAGGCUCUUAUUUAUUUAAUUUGGUGGAUUGUUAAUAGUUGGGUUGUCAUUGUUGUGAUAUGAGGUAUGAGGAGAACUAAUUUGGAGCUCGAUCAAGUGAGAAAAAAUGGAUGAUUUAAGAUUAAUAUGGCAUUGUCAAUAUACAGAUUGAUUAGCAGUUGAGGUUUAUGGAGGCUUAAGCUGAAUUCAAAUGGAGCUUGAUUAUAUUAAAGGGAUUAAAAUUAUAUUUAUGUGUUAUAUAUUAAGGUUGUAUUCAUUUAAUAUAUGAAUUGUUGUAAGUUUAAAUGUGAGGUGAAAGGUUUAUUAUUAUUCAAGGAGUAUUCAUUUGAGUC